AAACAAGACGGAACAUAAGUCAACAAUGCUUCAGGUUAUAUGCGACAGAAACACCAAGAAAAUAUUAAAGUAUUUCUCCUUUUACAAAUAUGACAGUUCUAUUUUUAUGAAAACUUAAUUCAAAGCAAGGCCACGUGAUGGCUUCUUCGAUGGUUUAUAGAUGUAACGUCACACUACGUCGUCACGGUGACUCCACUGUUUAACAUUUGAUUCAAGACGGGGGGGGGGGUUAAAUCAAAUUUAAAAAAGGCAGGGAAAUGCGCUUGCGUACACAACAGGGUGUUCAGGGAACCACCGUUUCUGUUGGGAAAACAAUCCCUUUUGCUACGUUUAGUCUGCGCUGAACUCAGCCGGGGAAAAAACGUAUUGCUAAAACAUGUUUAUGUAAUCAAAUCAUUCGGGAAAUAAUUCACACUUACGUAUAAAUAAACUGCGAAGAAUGAAGAGAAGAGCAGCAAAUGUACCUUGCCUGGCGAGACAACAGACCCUUUGGAGGUUCUAUGCAGCAGUGGAAGAUUUACUCAAACAGCAUGAAGGCAGGAUUAGGGAUACGCAGGAGGAGCGCUUCAGUCAGGAAUUAGCGUCAUGUGGUCGGCUGGAGACGAGCAUGCAAGGUAUCUUCUGAGACAGGCUUGGACACUUACUGCUCCAUUUGUCUACUUAGUGAUCAAAUACUGAGGUUGAUGGUUAUUUCUCUGUCAUUUGUGGUUUAUGUGAUAUGUGUUCAUCUGUGAGCAUUUCCGUGUUGUGAAACUGUGUGAAUUUCAGAGAUCAAAACACCCUUUGGACAUCCA